rnacentral:tRNA from 1 species
GCGGGAAUAGCUCAAAUGGCUAGAGCAUCAGCCUUCCAAGCUGAGGGUAGCGGGUUCGAGCCCCGUCUCCCGCUCCA